CCAAUAGCGUAUAUUAAAGUUGCUGCAGUUAAAAAGCUCGUAGUUGAAUUUCGGGACCAAUAUGUCGGUCGUGCCUCGGUACGUACUGGCUUAUUGGUUUCUCCCUUCUGACGAACCAUGAUGUCAUUUAUUUGGUGUCGUGGGGAAUCAGGACUGUUACUUUGAAAAAAUUAGAGUGUUUAAAGCAGGCUCGCGCUUGA
rnacentral:rRNA from 1 species